AGGCAGUACAUUGCUAGCUGGCUGUUAUAAUUUCAACAGUGGCUAGUUGUGCUCCCCU
rnacentral:pre_miRNA from 1 species